rnacentral:sRNA from 1 species
GAGAGAGAGAGAGAGCCCCUGUACACCAGGUAUUUUGCAACAAGGCUGUUUGCUACAUCUCAAGACAAGAAAAGCCUUGCCUGACAGUCCCUGAGAGGAUGAUGGAUGACUCCCCAACUUGCAACAGAGGUUUAGGAAAUCUCUUCAUAAAACCUGGGGAGCUGAGCUUUCUAAACAAGCCAAUUUCAAACAGGAUUUGACUCCUAUCACCGAAAAUCCUCGCACCUCCAAGAACACAUCCAUUGUACAAAGUAGUGUUCUAAUUGGGUCUCAAAGGCACUGAGACGGACAAAAACAAAACCCAAGGAGAUUAUUUGCUCCCUUUGGUGAAUAAGGUGUUCCUGCCAAACAAAUGAUCUUUUCUAGCUUAGCUCGAUGUGUUUCACUCUUCACAGAGGUAAGGACCUGCACAGGAGGAGGGAGAGAUGCAUAUGAGCUCUCACUUUUGAGUUCCGGGUACUGCAUGUGGCCCCGAGUGGAGCUGGUUCACCAUGGCUAAAGUUACAUUGCUGAAUGGUGUCCUGUAACCAAGCUUAAAAUUGUCAUCUUUUGGGACCAGCACGUGCACCCUUGCAGCUGCUCCUGAACACAGCUGUGGACGAUGAGCUUAUCCCCCACCCUGCCGCAAUUUUCAUGGCUGAUUACGACCAUCUUCCCCGUAUGGCCACGUCUCUUGGGCACAGCUGAGUGGCUCUCCCUUUAUGAGAUGCAGAAGCUUCUCUCUGAGGACUCUGGAUGUGGAGAGAUAAAUGCAAGCCUGACCAAACAAACUUGGGUCCAAACCUUUACCGUUAAGUCUUUUUUUUUUCCUUCUUUUUUUAGAACACUCUUUAUUUGGGAGCCUUGGUCGACCUUUAUGUGUGAGGAGGUGGAAAUGUCCCCAGGAAAUCUUACAAACCUCAGAGGAAGCUGUUGACAAAAUUCCAGAGAACUGAAUUUUUGUUUGUAUUCUGCAAGCAGAGAAUAGCAGAUGGCUUUCCACAUACUUCAGAUGAGCCUCAAAGAAGAGUUCCCUCCUGAGUGAAGCCAGGAUCCUUCCCCCUUGGAGAGAAGAACACACAGGUGUGCUUUGGGUCCACAGCGUCCCGUUGAUUCAUCCAGCUGAAGUGAGUCCCUGUUGUCCGUGCCUGUGAGAACACCAGGACAGCUUCUCUCUCCCUGCUUCUGGUACAGUAAACCAUGCAUGCUUACUCUAUUACCUUCUUAUUGGGCCUCUUUUUGUAGAAACUUGUUCCAUGGACCAGUGUGUGCGGAGUACAAUGGCUCGCAUUUAAGAGACGCUCAGCGAUUGUUUUCUAGGUGGAACGCAACAUUGCCUCUGCGCUCACCCAGUGGAGAGGAAGGUCUAGUAUCAGUGCCAGCCUGGCAUUUAUUUGGGGUGCUGGGCCUCCCGACUGUAUCUCUGGAUCAGGGAGGGCUUCGAGGAGGGAUUCUUGAGAAAGCCCUUGGUAGAUGCAGAGGAGGUGAAAUCACGUGGGAGUGAGAGAGAGGCUUCAGAGAGCUGCCUGAUUGGAGUUUCUAAGCAACUGUCCAUCUUGAUUGACUGGUUUCCCAGGACCUCAGGGUUUUUCAUGCAGAGCAGACCCAGUAACUACAGGAAGACAAGGGUGGAUGACGCGCAGACUCCUGGGCUGUGGGCUCAGCUCCCUUCCAGUGACCCAGUGGAGCCAGAAGGCACAGGUGACUGGAAAGCAGCCAAAUCUUGGGCCAAUUUUGAGUCCCUAGAUGGGUCACUGUGAGUGUCAGGCCACCGGCACCAAACUGGUGGGCUGCACGUGCAACUUGUCAUGCGUGGUAGCCACACAUUGGUCUGUGUGACCCAGCCCAGGGGAGCCACCCCCUGGAGCGGCACUCUGACACCCUCCACUCUGAUCUAAACACAGGUUUUUAAUUUCCCAGUGUUCUGCCCUUUCUCCCUCUCGCUGGUUGGCUUCUCUGUCACUUCAUUUCCUGCUAUGUUCUCAUCUUACAACAAAGGUGAACAGAGCUGACCUCUCCUUGCCCCAAAGCAGAAUAAAAUACAGAACAGAUUUUUGUGAAUAAAAAUAGAGGCGAAUACCACCAGCCAGUCGCUGUGGGCUCCACAAGGUCCAUCUGGUCUACUUCAUACUGGCCCUACAGUUUCAACCUCAGGGCAGAGAAGCCAAGGCAGGGCCAAGCCCUGGGGCAAGCAGUGGACAGAGGCCAGCUCUCUGAGCCACAGUGAGGCUAGACCAGGUGGUGUUGGACAACUCUUUCCUGUGGAGGGCAGCUGGGAACAUGGUGACCUCCUUUCAAGUUGCCCUUACCAGGGGACCAAGGAGGAAAAAUUGAAAUGGUAAUACCUCGUAGGAAGGAAAUAUCUGGAACGUUGGGGGAAAUUACAAGAAGGAUGCAGAAUAUUUCUUAGAAUAGUAGCAGGGACUGGUUAGAGUCAAACAGAGACCCCAGGUUGGGCCCUUGUUCUUUUGCAAUAGGCUGUGUUACCUUAGGUAAGACGCUUCACCUCUGUUUUGUCAUCUGUGAAAUGGAGACAGUGAGGGAGGUUUUGGAAGUGAACUCGGAGUCAAAUAAGCCACCACGUCUUAUUCAGGAAGUGCCUGUCAUGGGAUCUAUGAUGUACGCUCUUUUCCAUUGGGCUAUUGGCUUGAUUGUCAGUGGGACCCCCUGGGACUUCACACCCCCCAGCUUUAGUCUCUCAGAACUAUCUGGAAGUUUUGUCAGUUUUGUACACAGAAUAAUGCUUCUUCUUGUCCCAGUUUGUGACAGAUGUCUGACUUCAGGGCAGGUUCUCUGCUCCUGUAGUUGCCACUGGGGCACAGCCUCCCAACCAUGCUGACUAGCAGGUAUGCGCUUGUAAACAAUGCAUUAAAUAGCUGGAUGCACAGAUGCUUGCUAUUUUAAGAUAUUAGGUCAAGACAAUUUUAAGUGUGAGUUUAGGUCAUAUUCCUCCAUGUAUUUUCUGCCCCUAUUUAAAUGUAGGUGGGGAAAGGCUUUCUGGGAUACCCCUGGUCUGCAGAGAGCUGUGGCUAGGUUUAGAAGCAGAAGUUGUCUGCAAGACACUUUCCAUCCUCAAUUUUGUUUGUAAGGGUUCUGAAAGUGUUGAAAAAGUAUACUAGAUGCAUGGGAGGUGAGGCGUCAGGAGAGA